rnacentral:rRNA from 1 species
UACGUAGGGUGCAAGCGUUGUCCGGAAUUAUUGGGCGUAAAGAGCUCGUAGGCGGUUUGUCGCGUCUGCUGUGAAAACGCGAGGCUCAACCUCGCGCCUGCAGUGGGUACGGGCAGACUAGAGUGCGGUAGGGGAGAUUGGAAUUCCUGGUGUAGCGGUGGAAUGCGCAGAUAUCAGGAGGAACACCGAUGGCGAAGGCGGGUCUCUGGGCCGAAACUGACGCUGAGGAGCGAAAGCGUGGGGGAGCAAACAGG